CAAGUUUGUCGCCAUACUUCAC
rnacentral:miRNA from 10 species